rnacentral:rRNA from 1 species
AAUCGAACUCGGAGAUAGCUGGUUCUCCCCGAAAUAGCUUUAGGGCUAGCGUUAUCUUAGAUUACCGGAGGUAAAGCACUGAAUGGGCUAGGGGGCGAUAAGCUUACUGAACCCUAUCAAACUCUGAAUGCCGGAUAAUUGAUGGAUAGCAGUCAGACAGUGUGAGAUAAGUUUCAUUGUCAAAAGGGAAACAGCCCAGACCCACAGCUAAGGUCCCAAAUGUAUGCUAAGUGGAAAACGAUGUGGAGUUGCGAAAACAACCAGGAUGUUGGCUUAGAAGCAGCCACUCAUUAAAAGAGUGCGUAAUAGCUCACUGGUCGAGUGACUCUGCGCGGAAAAUGUAACGGGGCUAAGUAUACAACCGAAGCUUGGGAUUGUCUAAAGACAGUGGUAGGGGAGCGUCGUGUACGGGGUGAAGUCGCAUCGGAAGGAGCGGUGGACUGUACACGAGUGAGAAUGCCGGAAUGAGUAGCGAGAAUUAUGUGGGAAUCAUAAUGGCCGAAAAUCUAAGGUUUCUUGGGGAAGGUUCGUCCGCCCAAGGUAAGCCGGGAGCUAAGGCGAGGCCGCAAGGCGUAGUCGAUGCACAUACGGUAGAAAUUCCGUAGCCACCGAACCUUAAACCGGAAGGACACUUUCAGAUAGCAGAACCCAGCCGUUGGUAGAGCUGGGCGAAAGGGACUGAAAUAUAGUAGGGAAGUCUGCGAUGCUGAGAGGCGAGAAAAGCUCCGGUGUAUGCUAAGGUGCCCGUACCGCAAACCGACACAGGUAGAUGAGGAGAGAAUCCUAAGGCCAACGGGAGAAGGGUUGUUAAGGAACUCGGCAAAUUGACCCCGUAACUUCGGAAGAAGGGGAGCCCCGAAAGGGGCCGCAGUGAAUAGGCCCAAGCAACUGUUUACCAAAAACACAGGUUUAUGCUAAAUCGAAAGAUGACGUAUAUGAGCUGACGCCUGCCCGGUGCCGGAAGGUUAAGAGGAGAUGUCAACCUUAAGGUGAAGCAUUGAAUUGAAGCCCCGGUAAACGGCGGCCGUAACUAUAACGGUCCUAAGGUAGCGAAAUUCCUUGUCAGGUAAGUUCUGACCCGCACGAAUGGCGUAAUGAUUUGGGCACUGUCUCAACAGCCCGCCCGGCGAAAUUGUAGUACUGGUGAAGAUGCCAGUUACCCGCAACUAGACGGAAAGACCCCAUGGAGCUUUACUGCAGUUUAAUACUGGGAAUCGGUAAUGCAUGUACAGGAUAGGUGGGAGACUUGGAAGCAUAGUCGUCAGGCUAUGUGGAGUCACCGGUGGGAUACCACUCUUGUAUUGCUGGUUUCCUAACCUGCGGCCGUGAAUCCGGUCGGGGGACACUGUUAGACGGGCAGUUUGACUGGGGCGGUCGCCUCCAAAAGAGUAACGGAGGCGCUCAAAGGUUCGUUCAGCACGGACGGAAAUCGUGCAUUGAGUGUAAACGCAUAAACGAGCCUAACUGCGAGACCGACGGGUCGAGCAGUAACGAAAGUUGGAGUUAGUGAUCCGGUGGUAUGUGAGUGGAAAUGCCAUCGCUCAACGGAUAAAA